rnacentral:rRNA from 1 species
AUAAGCCCGGGAACUGGGUCUAAUACCGGAUAUGACGCGCUACUGCAUGGUGGUGUGUGGAAAGUUUUUCGGCCAGGGAUGGGCUCGCGGCCUAUCAGCUUGUUGGUGGGGUGAUGGCCUACCAAGGCGACGACGGGUAGCCGGCCUGAGAGGGCGACCGGCCACACUGGGACUGAGACACGGCCCAGACUCCUACGGGAGGCAGCAGUGGGGAAUAUUGCGCAAUGGGCGGAAGCCUGACGCAGCGACGCCGCGUGGGGGAUGAAGGCCUUCGGGUUGUAAACCUCUUUCACCAUCGACGAAGCGUGAGUGACGGUAGGUGGGGAAGAAGCGCCGGCUAACUACGUGCCAGCAGCCGCGGUAA